rnacentral:misc_RNA from 1 species
AAGUCGUAACAAGGUUUCCGUAGGUGAACCUGCGGAAGGAUCAUUAACACGUUAUCCACGUACACCAACCGAGAACCGUUAAUUCUACCUCUGUGCAGAAUGAGCAGCAGCAAGAUUGAGUGAUGGAAGGGUGAGCGUAAAAACGACUGGCUCAAUUUGCUAUUGGUCCCAGAAGGCUUGCUUUUUGGCAGGUCUCGAGGUGCCUACUGUUGUAUCUGUCUCGUGGAGGCCCCGCUUGCCGCGCAACUCUCCAUCCAUGAAGUGCGCGGCGAGUAACUUAUUCACACAUUAUCACCACUUUUUGCUAGUUGACUUUUAUAUGUUGUGCUUCGCUUCGGUGAGGUGCACACGUUUAAUUAUUUGAACGUUAAAAAUACAACUCUUAGCAAUGGAUAUCUAGGUUCUC